rnacentral:rRNA from 1 species
AUGGGCCAGCCCAGAAAGGCGCGCAGGGGAGCGGGCCAUGCGCGCGGGGCUGCUUUCAGGCGUGCACGUCGGCGAAUAAGAGGUCCCACCGAUGAGCUAAAUUUUGAGCCUUUUCUUUUUGCAUACUGGCUAUAUCAGCAUGAUCUUGGACGGGUUUUUCUUCAUUCUUUCAGUUCGCGGGGACAGAGCCCAAAGUGUACCAUGUAUAUGGGGAACAUUCGCUCUCUUUUUUGUGGUGUCAUGGGCAAUAUUCUUGCUUUGUGCAUAGUCUUGUACUACCUUUUUAGUGAGUAUAUAUAUAUAUGCGGAACAUUCCAGAAGAUACAGGGGUUUCUUCCAUUUCAAAUGGUCCAACUAAUAAGCAUGAUGAGGGAGGCCAUGAUUUCUCUAAUCGGGAUGCUCUUGCCGGAUAGGCUUACCCACCUCUCCCAGAGAGAGGGUUCCAAGUGCAUGCCAACAGGAUGUGUUAGCUCUGGAGGAGUAGCCACUCAUUUGCGAAGUCUUAUAAGCAAAGGGUAA